rnacentral:rRNA from 1 species
GUUCGAUUAAGCCAUGCGAGUCCGAGCUUUCGGACUCGGCGUACCGCUCAGUAACACGUGGGUAACCUAACCUAUGCAGGGGAAUAACCUCGGGAAACUGAGUAUAAUGCCCCAUAGUCCACUACGCCUGGAACGGUGAGUGGAUAAAAGCUCAGGCGGCAUAGGAUGGGCCUGCGGCGUAUCAGGUCGUAGGGGGUGUAAAGUACCCUCUAGCCAUCUACGCGUACGGGUGUUGGGAGACAUAGCCCGGAGAUGGAUUCUGAGACACGAAUCCAGACCCUACGGGGUGCAGCAGGCGCGAAAACUUGACAAUGCGAGCAAUCGUGAUCAGGGAACUCCAAGUGGCUGGGGUAAGACCCAGUCUUUUCAUAACUCUUCAAAGGUUGUAGAAUAAGGGGUGGGUAAGGACGGUGCCAGCCGCCGCGGUAAUACCGGCGCCUCAAGUGGUAGUCGCUUUUAUUGGGCCUAAAACGUCCGUAGCCGGUUUGGUACAUUCGUGGGUAAAUCAACUCGCUCAACGAGUUGAAUUCUGCGAGGACGGCCAGACUUGGGACCGGGAGAGGUGUGGGGGUACUCUCAGGGUAGGGGGUAAAAAUCCUGUCAUCCUGAGAGGACCACCUGUUGCGAAGGCGCCACACUAGAACGGAUCCGACGGUCAGGGACGAAGCCUAGGGGCACGAACCGGAUUAGAUACCCGGGUAGUCCUAGGUGUAAACGCUGUGGACUUGAUGUU